AGAGUUUGAUCCUGGCUCAGGAUGAACGCUGGCGGCGUGCCUAAUACAUGCAAGUCGAACGAGGUGCUUUUGUAGCAAUACGAGAGUAUCCUAGUGGCGAACGGGUGAGUAACGCGUUGGUGACCUACCCCAAAGUGUGGGAUAACAGUCCGAAAGGAUUGCUAAUACCGCAUGUGGUCAUUGGAUUUAGAAACUGAUGACUAAAGGAGCAAUUCGCUUUGGGAGGGACCUGCGUCCCAUCAGCUAGUUGGUGAGGUAACGGCUCACCAAGGCGACGACGGGUAGGGGACCUGAGAGGGUGGCCCCCCACAAUGGAACUGAAACACGGUCCAUACACCUACGGGUGGCAGCAGUAGGGAAUAUUGCACAAUGGGCGAAAGCCUGAUGCAGCAACGCAGCGUGUGUGAUGAAGGCCUUCGGGUCGUAAAGCACUUUUCUGGGAGAUGAGAAAGGACAGUAUCCCAGGAAUAAGUCUCGGCUAACUACGUGCCAGCCGCCGCGGUAAUAC
rnacentral:rRNA from 1 species